rnacentral:tRNA from 1 species
GAAACAGUGGCUGAAUUGGAGGCAAUAAAUUGUAAAUUUAUUAAUGGGGGCACCCCUGUUUCA